UUCUCUCUUAUUAACACUGUUUAUAUAGGUGUCCCUUGCUUUUUGCAAGUUUGUUCUGUGUCACUUCACUUUUUUGAAAGACCUACACUGGUACCUGAUUUUGCUAAUGAAAAGAAAGCUGAGGAUGAGUUUUGCUUUUAUGAGAAAAGGCAAAAAGCAAAAUAGCAUUUUUUUUUCAGCCAGCUGUUUUAAAGGCAGCCAGAGUGACACCACCAAGCUCCUUCUCUAGGAACUUCGCAUCUCAGCAUCAAGCUGCCAUAACUUUGAACUGUGUCUGUACCUCUGCUCCCAGGGGAUCUGCUGGCUCAUAUGACCCAAACAGCAAGGCUUCUUCUACUGAAAACGGCCUGCGGCAGAGCCCUGUCAUGUUCUGGGCUCUACUAAAGCUAGAAACCUUCCAAGUCACAUUAUAGGUGGCUUGAAUCAAGUGUCCCUCAGUGUGGAAUACUCUUCAAGCAAAACCUAAAGUGGCCUAAAAAGUGGGAAACUCUACCCCCAACAUGGGGAUUGAACUCACGCCCCUGAGAUCAAGUCACAUGCUCUACUGACUGAGCAAACCAAGCACGCUUGAAUCAGAACCUUUAAAAUUACUAUCUUAUAACACAUCACCCCAUCUAGGAGGAAAUGAGAGACAAACUUUGCUGGAGCAUCAUUAUGUACAAUGCACUGUGCUGGGUGCCAUUCCUUCAUCCUCAAAAUGCCUGGGAUCCAGUUUCCCCUGGUGGAAAUGUGGCAGUACUCACCCUCGAAGAAAGCCUGAUGAGGAAUUUGAGAAUUCCUAAGACUGGAAAUGGGAUGAUUUGUUGACAUGGACAUUUAAGUCAACUUGGACGAUAGUCGUUUGGAAGACUAUAUGCCAGGUGCCAAACCUGUGAUUAAUAAGAGAAGAAUUAGAAUUGUGGAAACUCUGCUGGUGAGGACAGGAAGUGGUUGAUUCAAGUAAAUGGUUUCUACUCAGGAGACAAGAACAAGCUUGUCAGAUAAAAGCAAAUUGUGAACAAACUUCUAUGAAUAGUUGUGUCCCACGGUGGAAGGGCAUCAAGGAACAAAUGUCAUCUUCAUUAGAGAGCUUCAGUAGUUCAUCUUCCUAUGGCAUCAAGCUGCCUCUCGUGUCAGAAGUGAAAGUCAAGAGAGGUCUUAAGAAGAGGCAGUUCAAGAAAGGAGUUAAAUUAUUAAAGAAGAGAUCAGCACAAUUCAAAGCACCUUACUGAUUGAACAAACAGGAUGACUCUGCCAUUUUUUAAGGGUCAUGCAACUGCUUCUGGCCAGUGGGUUGUAAACAGAAAUCUCUACUUAAGACUCUCCAAUCUUCUUUUCUUCUGGUAUGAAGACUAGUAAUGUUCAAGAUGAUGGCUGCUCCACUGGCCUGGAAGCUGAAGCACCUCUGAUGAGCAAGGCCUUACUGAUGAUCUACAAGGGCAAUAAAGCGUAAACAAUAAAUAAAUCCUCACCAUUUGAAACUACUAAAAUUCC